GGGAACAUAUGGGUUCUGGUGUGCCCCCUGGUCUUCAAAACCUGUGCUGGCGGUUAGCCCCGUCUAGGUGGGUUCGAUUCCCACAUGUUCCCGCCA
rnacentral:tRNA from 1 species